UUCCUGGUGGUCCAGAGGUUAGAGCUCUGCAUUUCCACUGCGGAGGGCCCAGGUUCGAUCCCUGGGUGGGGAA
rnacentral:tRNA from 1 species